ensembl:lncRNA
CAGGUUACCACACUCACCCAAGUCUCCCUCCCCACCGGACUCCAAGAUCCCCGAAAGAAGCCGUGAGGGGACCUCGUGGCACCUGCUCAAGUCCGCAUGCAGAUCAGCCCUGGGCCAGAGCAAGAAAUGUUCCACUGGAAAGCGGGCGCCCAAAGGAAGGAAGGUCGGAUUCAGACUCUGGACAGAUACAGAUCGGUCCCGGGAAAACGAAAGGCGGACAGCGGGGCAGCACCCAGCCCAACCCAGCCCACCUUCCCCAAGCCCGUCAGGUGAAGCUCAGUCAACCACAACGCCAAUGCCGGCAGGCCGGGGCGAGCCUCUGUCGCCGCUGCGCCUCGGAGCUCCCGGGAACGGUGGGUUAACGUAUGGGUGGUGGGAUCCCACGCGCUGCGCUGCUGCCGCGCCCUGCGGCCGCCUUUCCCGCGCUUACCCGGACCGCAAGCCGGCGUGCAAGAGCAAAGCCGGUGCGCUUCAUCCUUCUGGGCCAGAGGGCCCUGGGAAGGGCUCGCCUCGCCCCGCACUGACCUCGGAGGUUUUCUUUUUCCUUCUCUGCCCUCAGUCCCAUUUAUCAGCGGUGACGGGCCGCAGGAAAGAAAAGUGACACCUCAGGGGCUGGAUUCGGCCUAGAAUCGCCCCCUCCUCCUCCAGGGGCUCUCCUCCCAACCCUCCACUAAGAUCCCUUCCAGAUGGUUCAGGCUCCCAGGGGGUGGGAUGGGGGCAGAGAACAUCCCUGAGGCUGGAGGAACCCCUUUUCCCAGACUGAGUGCCAAGCUCUCGGGAGGCCUGAGCUGCUUCCCAGUCUGGCACCGAGAAGCGACCCCUGCAUCCCUCCACCAGGUAGGCCCCAGGAGACCAGAGAGGAGAGAGAAGACAGGGGAGAGGAGAGAGGAGAGCGCUCCGGGGAGGGAGAGGAAAGGAGCUGCAGCGGAGCCGCAGUAGGCCAAGCACAGGGUGGCCCUGCUGGCCUGCAGGAACCUUGUCCGUUGGCCUAGAGGUGAGUGUGGCUGUGCUCCCGCCACCAGGACGCCCAGCCUGGGCCUAAGCAGGGCACUUCCCCUCUCCUCGUGCUCCCAAUGGCAACACAGGUCUGAUUUCAGAUCCAGGUUCCCGGGAGCACCUCACCUACAUUCACGGCGGGCCCACAUUCUCCCACGGCCAGCCCCUUUUUAGAAAGGAGUUCUGCCAGCUCGGGGGACCAGGGCCUUCCCUCUGCCAGCCCCCCAGGUGUAGGAGUCAGAGCUAAGCACCAGUCUGUGCCACCAACCGCCAAGCCUGGCAUUUGAACCCAGUGGGAAGGCAGGAGAGAUUCCAGCCUUCCCUUCCCACCCAACCCCUUCCUGCACCUAAGUUGUCCUCUCCAGCGUGUUGUGAAGUACUGCCUGUGGUUCCAUCUGUGAGCAGACUUAGGGGGCUACGCUAAUGACAGUGCGUUCUGGCAAGGCAGGAUCUGGCUGCCUCUGCGGGGCCCACACCUUCUUCUGUUUGGAAGGGCUCCGGGACAGAGAUUUAUUAACGAAUCCCUUCUGCUUGGUGGUAUGCGGUCUGGGAGUUCAGGCUAGGAGUUAAUGAGAGAUGUGUAACAGUCAGAGGGUCUCAGUCAGACCAUUCAACCGCAACUGCAAACCCCCAUUAGUAAUCAACUUUCCCACCACAAAUCACGAUUAUUUUUGCUCAGCGGCAACUCUCUUAGGGAGGCAGGAAAAAAGGAUUCUACUAACAUUCCUGGUAAUCUAUCUGAUUAUUUCCCUUUCAAUUAAAAAUAAUAAAUUACACCCUUAUUUCCCUUUGUAUAAUGAGGAUUUUCCAGAGAUUCAAAAUAUUAUUUUUCCCUUCGUGUUGAAAAGCAACCUCUUUCCCGUAGAGAGGAAACCGAAAUUAUUAUUUGGGUGUAUUCCCAGACUAGAUUUCUUAGAAAUAAAUACAGGAGGCAAAGCACAACUCCCACCACAGGGUGUAUGUGUUGAGGGAGGGAGCGGGUGUGGGGGGGGAGUGGUGUCAGCUAAAGUACUGUUGUGACCUGUGAUUUCUACUCCAAAGGCACAGCAAACUCCGCCAUAAAGGUUACACUGCCACAAAGUUGAGUGCCAUCUUCUUUCCCUUUUCUCUGAAUGGUUUAUAACACAGAAAUUAACGACUAGUAUAUUUCAGAUUCAUGUUAGCAAAAAAAAAAAAAAAAAA